rnacentral:misc_RNA from 1 species
CAUAAAAAAAAAAACAAGAAAUCCUUCUCUUUUUUACUUUAACCAUAGUUUUAUAUUUGGACUUUUUUUUUAUACUUUAUUGUAUAAUGUUUUCCAGAGACUUCAACAUCUGAAGAUUAUUAUUCAUUCUGCAUGACUAUUACAUGUUUGACUACAAACUAUCUGAUACAACAGUAAAACAAGACACUAUAGAUCUGUUGAAGAAUUCAUUAUUUUAAUUGCCUUCAACUUCAACCUUGAUGCUUCCUAAUAAGCUGUAGUUCAGCCUUGUGAACUGUCUUGCUGUCUUGGAACCAAACUUAUCGUGAAGCGGAAAACCAAACUCUAAAAUUCUACCCAGCCUCCUCAUUUGUGCAUGAUGCACAAAUAUGGAAAGGCUCCACUAAAUUUUAUAACAGAUAUAUGUCAAAUAUAUUAGUUUCAUCCUCAGGAAAAGUCAAUAAUAUUGAGCUGAGCCCUCUACCAAGGCAAAGUUCGGUUUGUGCUCGCUAUAUUCAACUAUGGCUGAUGGUGGAAGACGUCCAAUACAGAUCUCAUGCACUGUUGCAAAAAGUGGAAACAACUCUAGCCAUCCACGGUGACUUAAGACUUCAUACACUUCUCUUGCUGUUGAGACACCCUUUAACGUAUAGACACAAGAAUUGACAAAAUAGUUAGGUUUAACAACUUGACUUUUGAUAAUGUGAUAAAUCUACAAAAUAAAUGUUUUUGGUUCAUCCUAGGAAUGAUAUGCCAUUUAGGUAAUAGAAUGAGUUUCUAGCAACUCCAUUCUUAGCAAGUAGGACACUUGCUGGAAUUUGUAUUUUGCAUUCGAGUUAUGCAAAGUUCACAGAAACAGUGAAGUAUUCUAAGGUCUUUGCAAUCUACUUUGUGUCUCUUGCUUAUUAAAUCUGUGAUCCUUGUCAACAGAGUGAAAAAGUUAACUAUAAUUCUGGACUAAUGAACCCUUUAUAGGCAUGUUUACUCAGGAAAAAAAGUUCACAUUUUAACCAUUAACUUCCUCAUGCACCUGUAAUUUUUGGCCCUGCAACAUCUCUGCCUCAAGCUCAUCAAAAGACCUACAGACGAGAAACAUAGGUUAAGAUUAAAACCUUCAACAUUUUUCUAUAUUUUUUUGCCCCAACUAGCGAAAAAGGACACCUUUUUCCUCCAUUCUUUGCAAAGGCUUCUGCAACUUUCCUGUUUCUUCCUCCCACUGCCACAGAUGAUAUAAUUAUUUUCCAAGCAACAUUUUACUUUGCAGAGACUAAAGAAAUCUACAUGCUUCCUUACAGCAUGUUGUGAUGACAUCAGCUACACCACAGCUUUCGAAGAAAGUGCUGUCCUUAACAGAUGAAAACAACAACUUGGAGAAGGCUCUCAUCUCCCUCAGACCAAUUCUCAUUAUUGCAGCCUAGUGAGAAUACAAACAGUUAAGGCACAAGAGAAACACAAUAGAAGUUGGUGCUAAACCCUAUUAUGACUAUUUAGAUGCACCUUUGUGUUAUUUCCCAUUUCCAGACCAUCGACAAAACCUGUCCCAUCAGAGGUCAAUUGCUCCAUUGCUAACCCAAAGAAGAAGAAGAAGAGCAGCAAAUUGAUAUGGGAAACAAAAUCCAGUAUACAAACCUGCUGCUAAUGCCACAACAUUCUUCAAGGUCCCACAUAGUUCAACUCCCUCUACAUCUUGGACAGGCGUGACCAUGAAGUAAGGAGUACUAAAUAACUGAACCCAUUUCUCUGCAAUCUCUCUGUUCGCUUUGUAUCCAACUGUCGCCUCACUGAACUUCUCAACGGCGAUUUCAUUUGCUAUAUUUGCUCCCAUUAGCACACAACAAUUAAUGCCAAGCAGCUCAGAAAUAAGAUUUGAGAUCAUGCAAGGGCCUUCCAUUUUGACCUCCAUUCCUUUGAUGAGUGAAAUAGCCUCUACACCUUCCUUUAUCUUCCCAACAAGUCUCUUGCAUAUACCCUCCAUAAACUGAUGUGGAGUUACAAAUACCAACAUGUUUGCAUCCCUCACGGCAUUGUCAAGAUCAGGAUCUGCAAUAACAUUUUUUCCAAGCUUUAUACCCGGGAGAUAUUUAACAUUUUCAUUAGUUCGGUUAAUGACAUCUGUUAACUUCUCACCACUUGGUAAUGUCUCUUCAAACACCCACAUUCUCACUUCAUCAUGAAAAGAAGCAAGCUUGAGGGUGUUAGAAGCAAUAAGCUUAGCAGCCACACUACCCCAAUUGCCACUACCCACAACAGUGACUCUAGAAAUAUGUGAAGCAGCAGAAACAUCGUUGGCAAAGGCGUUUCUUGAAGCAGCUUCUUGGGCUUCCAUGGCAGCAGGUGGGGCCAUGAGAAAGGAAGGGGAAAAAGAAGAAAGAAAAGGACCGAGAAGGGAACGAGAGAUGGAGAAGAAGGAUGGAGAUGACAGAGAAGAAGGUGAAGGGAAGAGGGGAUGAUAUAUGGGAAACAGAAAGCGCAUUGGGGCGAAAAAGACAGACACGUUUCGUGAGAAACUAUGCGUUCUUCUUUGGGUUACAUGUUGAGUCCUCGGCGAUCUAUUCAAUGUUUUGUAACUUUUGUUUUAACUGAUGAGUCUAGA